ACAUUCCGUAGUGCUUUACAAUAUUAUAAGGGGGGGGGAGGGGGGUAAGGACAAUUACACACAAAAAACAAAAACUUACAGAAAUGAUAGGUUCAAACGAGCUUACAGUCUAUGGGACGUGGGGUAUAAAACACAAUAGGACAGGAAAUAGCAAUCAAAUAAGGUGGGAGUGAAGCAGAGCUAGAGGAGAGAGUAGAGUGCUGCC